AAUAAGCGGAGGAAAAGAAACUAACAAGGAUUCCCCUAGUAACUGCGAGUGAAGCGGGAAAAGCUCAAAUUUAAAAUCUGGCAGUCUUUGAUUGUCCGAGUUGUAAUCUAGAGAAGUGUUAUCCGCGCUGGACCGUGUACAAGUCUCCUGGAAUGGAGCGUCAUAGAGGGUGAGAAUCCCGUCUUUGACACGGACUGCCAGGGCUUUGUGAUGCGCUCUCAAAGAGUCGAGUUGUUUGGGAAUGCAGCUCAAAAUGGGUGGUAAAUUCCAUCUAAAGCUAAAUAUUGGCGAGAGACCGAUAGCGAACAAGUACCGUGAGGGAAAGAUGAAAAGAACUUUGGAAAGAGAGUUAAACAGUACGUGAAAUUGCUGAAAGGGAAACGCUUGAAGUCAGUCGCGUUGUUUGGGAAUCAACCUUGCUUUUGCUGGGCGUACUUUCCAGAUAAUGGGUCAGCAUCAAUUUUGAUCGUUGGAUAAAGUCAGAAGGAAUGUGGCAUCUUCGGAUGUGUUAUAGCCUUUUGUCGUAUACAACGGUUGGGAUUGAGGAACUCAGCACGCCGCAAGGCCGGGUACUUGUACCACGUUCGUGCUUAGGAUGCUGGCAUAAUGGCUUUAAUCGACCCGUCUUGAAACACGGACCAAGGAGUCUAACAUGCCUGCGAGUAUUUGGGUGGAAAACCCGAGUGCGUAAUGAAAGUGAAAGUUGAGAUCCCUGUCGUGGGGAGCAUCGACGCCCGGACCAGACCUUUUGUGACGGAUCUGCGGUAGAGCAUGUAUGUUGGGACCCGAAAGAUGGUGAACUAUGCCUGAAUAGGGUGAAGCCAGAGGAAACUCUGGUGGAGGCUCGUAGCGAUUCUGACGUGCAAAUCGAUCGUCAAAUUUGGGUAUAGGGGCGAAAGACUAAUCGAACCAUCUAGUAGCUGGUUCC
rnacentral:rRNA from 1 species